GAUGAACGCUAGCGGGAGGCCUAACACAUGCAAGCCGAGCGGUAUUUGUUCUUCGGAACAGAGAGAGCGGCGCACGGGUGCGGAACACGUGUGCAACCUGCCUUUAUCUGGGGGAUAGCCUUUCGAAAGGAAGAUUAAUACCCCAUAAAUAUUUAGUGGCAUCAUUUGAUAUUGAAAAACUCGGUGGAUAGAGGAGGGCACGCGCAAGAUUAGAUAGUUGGUGAGGUAACGGCUCACCAAGUCAAUGAUCUUUAGGGGGCCUGAGAGGGUGAUCCCCCACACUGGUACUGAGACACGGACCAGACUCCUACGGGAGGCAGCAGUGAGGAAUAUUGGACAAUGGGUUAGCGCCUGAUCCAGCCAUCCCGCGUGAAGGACGACGGCCCUAUGGGUUGUAAACUUCUUUUGUAUAGGGAUAAACCUACUCUCGUGAGAGUAGCUGAAGGUACUAUACGAAUAAGCACCGGCUAACUCCGUG
rnacentral:rRNA from 1 species